CAAGUCGAGCGGACAGAUGGGAGCUUGCUCCCUGAUGUUAGCGGCGGACGGGUGAGUAACACGUGGGUAACCUGCCUGUAAGACUGGGAUAACUCCGGGAAACCGGGGCUAAUACCGGAUGGUUGUUUGAACCGCAUGGUUCAAACAUAAAAGGUGGCUUCGGCUACCACUUACAGAUGGACCCGCGGCGCAUUAGCUAGUUGGUGAGGUAACGGCUCACCAAGGCAACGAUGCGUAGCCGACCUGAGAGGGUGAUCGGCCACACUGGGACUGAGACACGGCCCAGACUCCUACGGGAGGCAGCAGUAGGGAAUCUUCCGCAAUGGACGAAAGUCUGACGGAGCAACGCCGCGUGAGUGAUGAAGGUUUUCGGAUCGUAAAGCUCUGUUGUUAGGGAAGAACAAGUACCGUUCGAAUAGGGCGGUACCUUGACGGUACCUAACCAGAAAGCCACGGCUAACUACGUGCCAGCAGCCGCGGUAAUACGUAGGUGGCAAGCGUUGUCCGGAAUUAUUGGGCGUAAAGGGCUCGCAGGCGGUUUCUUAAGUCUGAUGUGAAAGCCCCCGGCUCAACCGGGGAGGGUCAUUGGAAACUGGGGAACUUGAGUGCAGAAGAGGAGAGUGGAAUUCCACGUGUAGCGGUGAAAUGCGUAGAGAUGUGGAGGAACACCAGUGGCGAAGGCGACUCUCUGGUCUGUAACUGACGCUGAGGAGCGAAAGCGUGGGGAGCGAACAGGAUUAGAUACCCUGGUAGUCCACGCCGUAAACGAUGAGUGCUAAGUGUUAGGGGGUUUCCGCCCCUUAGUGCUGCAGCUAACGCAUUAAGCACCUCCGCCUGGGGAGGUACGGUCGCAAGACUGAAACUCAAAGGAAUUGACGGGGGCCCGCACAAGCGGUGGAGCAUGUUGGUUUAAUUCGAAGCAACGCGAAGAACCUUACCAGGUCUUGACAUCCUCUGACAAUCCUAGAGAUAGGACGUCCCCUUCGGGGGCAGAGUGACAGGUGGUGCAUGGUUGUCGUCAGCUCGUGUCGUGAGAUGUUGGGUUAAGUCCCGCAACGAGCGCAACCCUUGAUCUUAGUUGCCAGCAUUCAGUUGGGCACUCUAAGGUGACUGCCGGUGACAAACCGGAGGAAGGUGGGGAUGACGUCAAAUCAUCAUGCCCCUUAUGACCUGGGCUACACACGUGCUACAAUGGACAGAACAAAGGGCAGCGAAACCGCGAGGUUAAGCCAAUCCCACAAAUCUGUUCU
rnacentral:rRNA from 1 species